CUUCAAUAUCCGUAUCAUGGGAAAAUAGUUUUUCUACCAGGAAUGUACUCUCAUUAUAGGACAGCAUAGUGGAGAGCAGUGUUGCUGUAGACAUCCACGUUCCAGCAGAACGAUGCCACAAAUCUCUUCCUGGCAAUGUACAGCCUCCUCAAAGGCAUCCCAUUUUGUUUAUCACCAAUGUCAAUGUGGCAUUUUCAGUUCACCAGGAGAGUCCCCACUUCCACAUGGCCAUUGGCACAGGCCAAACGUACAGCAGCCCUGUCCAUCCACAGCUGAAGGGAUAGAGAAACUGCCAUACAGAUACACACAGAGUAUGCUUCAGCCAUAAAGCUUUGGGAAAUCCUGUCAUUCGCAGCCACAUGGAGAAACCCAGAGGACAUUAGGUCCAAGAAAAUGAGCCUGGUGGAGCAAGUCCCACACUGCGUGACCUCAGGCAUGUGGACUCCAAAAAGCUUUAUCUCCUGCCCAUCCACAGAUGAAGGGAUCAAGAAACUCUGAUAUAUAUACACAAAGGAAUGUUCUUUGGCCAUCAAGAUAAUUAAAGGAUGUCAUUUGGAGGAACAUAGAUGGCCCGCCGAGGCUGCGGCUGCCUCAUCCUGCACUGUGGAUGGAAGCCGCUGAUCUGACAGGAAGUGGAGCUCAGGUGGUAAUGCUCGCUCUUGCUGUGCUGCCAGGUUCUUAACAGGCCAGGGAUGAUACUGGUCCAGGGGUGGGGGAGCCCUGCUCCAGAUGACAGCCAGAGUAGUCUUAAAUACUCCAGGAGUAGACAUACAGGCCAGGUCUCACAUGUAAAGCAUCAGAACACCUUUAGAAAGGCAAGCAGCACCUCUCUGUUUCUUGCCUCUGCAUCUCUCUGUGCUUCUGUUUCAUUUUCUUUCAGGACCUUCUGCUUUGCACAAAGGUGGUAUGCAAUCAGAAGACGUCUGAGGAGACAAGUAUGCAUCUCCCACCACAACAUUAUAUGAUGCUUGGAGUAAAAACAGUCCUCCCUGUUCCUACCCACGAAUGUAUUAUUCAAUAAAGAUUGCUGCCAGGCAUGGUGGCUCAUACCUGUAGUCCCGCACUUUGGGAGGCUGAGGCUGGGCAGAUCGCUUGAGACCAGGGUUUGAGACUAGCCUGGACAACAUGGUGAGCCACCAUCUCUGCAGAAAUAAAAUAAAAUAAAAUUAGCCAGGUGUAGUGGCCUGUGCCUAUAGCCUCAGCUACUUGGGAGGCUGAGGCAGGAGAAUAGCUUGAGCCCUGGAAGUCCAGGCAACAGUAAGCCAUGAUGGUGGCACUGCACUCCAAACUGGGUGACAGAGUAAGACCCUGUCUUAAAAAAAAAAAAAAAAGAUUGCAUUAUUCAAUCUUUUUUCCCAUAUAUAAUUUAUAUAGUUACAUAAUUACAUUCUAGUUUUUGCACAUGCCGAGAACUACAUAUAAUUUAGUAGUAUGCUGUUUUCACUUAUAUAUCACAUAUAUUUUCCUAUAUAGGUAUAUAAUAUCUAUAUUUGUCCUUUUCCAUUUGACUGCUGUGUUUCUUAAAUUGAUAUACUGUGAUCUAAGCCAGUUACAGAUUGGUAUGGAUUUAAAUUACUUCCUAUUUUCUGUUUUAUUAACAAUAAACACUGUUAUGAUAUAGUUUUCAUUUUUGUUUGUUUGGUUUUUGAUCAUUUCCUGUGGAAGUAUUCUCAAAGCUGAAAUUACUGAAUUAGUGGGAACAAACAUGGCUGUCUUUUUAAAUGUUUUGUCAGCUUACUCUCCAAAAGGAUUACACCAAGAGGUAUUGCCACUAGCAGUAGUUAAGAGUUUGUCUCACCAUGAUUACAAAUUUUUCAAAAUUGGUAGCUUAUUCACACUGAUUGGAACAUAUGAAUUGUUCAAUAUUUUAUAAUAUGUAUAUGGGAAAACCCUUAUAUAGAUUAAUCAAGAACAUAUAAGUAUGUAAUAAAUUCCAUACUGGAUUACAUCGAUGAUCCUUCUGGCUCUGCAUCUUGAAACCUAGUUAAGCUCUUUUAUGUUAAAUUCACCCGGAUAGAGUUUUGGAAAAUACUUGCUUUUUAUUUCUGAAAGUUUUUGCAAAGGAUUAGGUUUGGUUUUAUGAAAAGUUUCGUCUCUGAAAUUAUCUGCCUAGACUUUGGACAAGGUGUUCUAUUAAUUGUCAAAUACAAUUGAAUUGAAUCACAUUUUUCUUUCUAGGUUACUUUAUAAGGUGUUCCUACAGGUCAUAAAAAAAUUGCCCACAAGGAGCCAAAUUACUUUAUUCAUGGAUCUAAUAUUGCUUUAUAGUAUUGCUAUAUAGGUUUAGAUAAUUAUGUUGUUUCACCUUCAGUAGUCAUAUUUUAGUUAUAGGUAAAGUCAUUCCUAGUUAAAAUAGUAUGUAAAGCAAACACAUUUGAAAUCACCAGUAUUCGACAUGUUUUGCUAUUACUUACAAGUAACAAUUUACAUUAUUUUAAUGUUGUAAAUAGUUGUGGAAUUUAGUCAUUUUCUGUAUAUUGAAUUAAUUACUGGCAUUAAAUAAGUAUCUUCUCUCUUUAGUAGCUUAACUCAUUUCCUGAAUGUACCCAUUUGAUAUCAUACUUUUGAUUGGUAAAGUCACAUGUAAAUAUCUUUUUUACUUUUUAUAAAAUAAUGUCAUAAAAAUAUGGAAGAUUUUCUGGCAGACAUUAUUAGCUAACUGAUGACAUUUUCAGUAAGUGCCAAAAAGUAAUAUAUGAAUAUAUAAAACAUCAAAUAUUUAGCAUAAACUUUAUAAAUAGCAGAAAUGAUUAGUAGAAGAAAUUACUCACAUAUUGUCUGCUAAAAUAAAUAUUAAAAUUUGACUACAUGAAAAAAUAUAGUUUCUUGAGCUGAUCAAAUAAAUUGAUCAUAAUUCUUCCUCG
rnacentral:lncRNA from 1 species